CCAAAUCCCGCCCCCCUAUUUUCUUGGCUUUAUUUUUUGCCACUUUUAAUCUGAAACGGUGUCGUUUCAUUCCCUUCCUCCAAUCACGUUGCAGAUUUCUUUUCUUUUCUCUUUUCUUUUCUUUUGGAAAAUGCACGAUCGACCUCAUUGCUGUUUCUUUUUCCUUUUCUUUUAUCUUCCUCUUUGCCCACAAUAUUUGACUCUGAAUUUCUCUCUUAUUUAUUUCACCUGCAAAAAACCUUCUCUCUACGGCCGCCAGCUCCUCCUCCUCUCCAUCACCUUCAAUUCAUGACUCACCCAACAUAGUUUAUACUUAUCCAUGUCCUUUUUAUUUGGCAGUAAUUAUCUCUUCUGUAAUUCUUUUGUUCUUCGCCGCCUCAGUCUCUCUCAAAAGCUGACCCGACGUCGCCCGCCCCGCUUUUGAACUCGGGCGCCUUCAUCGAUCCCGACCGGAACGACUACGGGGCGGAGUCCCCGGAGAACCAGCAGGAAGAAGACAACGCAGAGAAUGUCAACUUCGAACCGGGUGUGGUUAUUGCGGCGGAGCCAAUUUCGAUGCUCCGACCCGGAGAGAGCUCGGUGGAGACGACGGCGUGGGCGGUGAGGAAGAGAGAUCUGGAUGAGAUGCUGAAGAGGCCGAGCUGGUUGCCUGAGGACUGGAAAAUUGACCUCAGGGUCCGCUCUUCUAGAGCCACAGCUGGGCUCAUUGAUCGA
rnacentral:lncRNA from 1 species